AGUGAACGCUGGCGGUAGGCCUAACACAUGCAAGUCGAACGGCAGCACAGUAAGAGCUUGCUCUUACGGGUGGCGAGUGGCGGACGGGUGAGGAAUACAUCGGAAUCUACUUUUUCGUGGGGGAUAACGUAGGGAAACUUACGCUAAUACCGCAUACGACCUACGGGUGAAAGCAUGGGAUCUUCGGACCUUUCGCGAUUGAAUGAGCCGAUGUCGGAUUAGCUAGUUGGCGGGGUAAAGGCCCACCAAGGCGACGAUCCGUAGCUGGUCUGAGAGGAUGAUCAGCCACACUGGAACUGAGACACGGUCCAGACUCCUACGGGAGGCAGCAGUGGGGAAUAUUGGACAAUGGGCGCAAGCCUGAUCCAGCCAUACCGCGUGGGUGAAGAAGGCCUUCGGGUUGUAAAGCCCUUUUGUUGGGAAAGAAAAGCAGCAGGUUAAUACCCCGCUGUUCUGACGGUACCCAAAGAAUAAGCACCGGCUAACUUCGUG
rnacentral:rRNA from 1 species